GGACGAACGCUGGCGGCGUGCCUAAUACAUGCAAGUCGAACGGUCUUUCUAUGGAAGCUUGCUUCCACUGAGAAGAUAGUGGCGAACGGGUGAGUAACACGUGGGUAACCUGCCCAUAAGAGGGGGAUAACAUCCGGAAACGGGUGCUAAUACCGCAUAGUUUCUUGAUCGCAUGAUCGGGAAAGGAAAGACGGCCUUUGUGCUGUCGCUUAUGGACGGACCCGCGGCGUAUUAGUUAGUUGGUGAGGUAACGGCUCACCAAGACGAUGAUACGUAGCCGACCUGAGAGGGUGAUCGGCCACAUUGGGACUGAGACACGGCCCAAACUCCUACGGGAGGCAGCAGUAGGGAAUCUUCCGCAAUGGACGAAAGUCUGACGGAGCAACGCCGCGUGAGUGAAGAAAAGGGUUUUCGGAUCGUAAAACUCUGUUGUCAGAGAAGAACAAGUUGGAGAGUAACUGCUCCAGCCUUGACGGUAUCUGACCAGAAAGCCACGGCUAACUACGUGCCAGCAGCGGC
rnacentral:rRNA from 1 species